rnacentral:rRNA from 1 species
AACGAACGCUGGCGGCAUGCCUAACACAUGCAAGUCGAACGAGACCUUCGGGUCUAGUGGCGCACGGGUGCGUAACGCGUGGGAACCUGCCCUUAGGUUCGGAAUAACUCCCCGAAAGGGGUGCUAAUACCGGAUAAUUUCUUCGGACCAAAGAUUUAUCGCCUUUGGAUGGGCCCGCGUUGGAUUAGCUAGUUGGUAGGGUAAAAGCCUACCAAGGCGACGAUCCAUAGCUGGUAUGAGAGGAUGAUCAGCCACACUGGGACUGAGACACGGCCCAGACUACUACGGGAGGCAGCAGUGGGGAAUAUUGGAAAAUGGGCGAAAGCCUGAUCCAGCAAUGCCGCGUGAGUGAUGAAGGCCUUAGGGUUGUAAAGCUCUUUUACCCGGGAUGAUAAUGACAGUACCGGGAGAAUAAGCUCCGGCUAACUCCGUG